rnacentral:rRNA from 1 species
ACUCAAUAGAUACCCGGGUAGUCCACGCCGUAGACGAUGAAUGUUAGCCGUCGGGCAGUUUACUGUUCGGUGGCGCAGCUAAACGCAUUAAACAUUCCGCCUGGGGAGUACGGUCGCAAGAUUAAAAACUCAAAGGAAUUGACGGGGGCCCGCACAAGCGGUGGAGCAUGUGGUUUAAAUUCGAAGCAACGCGCAGAACCUUACCAGCCCUUGACAUCCCGAUCGCGGAUUACAGAGAUGUUUUCCUUCAGUUCGGCUGGAUCGGAGACAGGUGCUGCAUGGCUGUCGUCAGCUCGUGUCGUGAGAUGUUGGGUUAAGUCCCGCAACGAGCGCAACCCUCGCCCUUAGUUGCCAGCAUUUGGUUGGGCACUCUAAGGGGACUGCCGGUGAUAAGCCGAGAGGAAGGUGGGGAUGACGUCAAGUCCUCAUGGCCCUUACGGGCUGGGCUACACACGUGCUACAAUGGUGGUGACAGUGGGCAGCGAGACCGCGAGGUCGAGCUAAUCUCCAAAAGCCAUCUCAGUUCGGA